GAUUUGUUUAAAGGGACAAAAAAGAUCAUUUAAGUGAUCACCAACAAGAAUAUGGGCAUAUUGGAUAUUUUUUAGUCAAUGACGUAAUAUAAAAUCUAAUGACCAAGCGAAAAACAAAUGCAUCUGGUACAGCUGAUGCAUUCAAAGUCUGUGCAAGCUGGAAUGACGGCCUCCAGGCAAAACCGUCAGUACUUGGAGUAUCCUCCCUGUUCAUCAGGAUUCAACCUCUGUGACAUAAAAUUUGAUGCCUUCCAUAGGUAAUUCUUCUGUCUAGGGGAAGUCACUGCAUCCCUGAUGUUAGGAAUCCAUUUGUUAGAUUGUGUCUUUCUUUGAAUACCGCCAAGGCUGAAUGACCUCAUAAUUUCAUUACUCUUCAGCACAGCCCAAGUGCAAUUCAUAAACUGCAGGCAGAAAGAUUUCCUCCUCUCUCACUCCAUAGCCUAGACUUUGGCAGCCCUAGACUACAGGGGCACAAGAACUGGCAUUUAACCAUGUAAUUCCAA
rnacentral:lncRNA from 1 species